rnacentral:rRNA from 1 species
GACGAACGCUGGCGGCGUGCUUAACACAUGCAAGUCGAACGGAAAGGCCCUGCUUUUGUGGGGUGCUCGAGUGGCGAACGGGUGAGUAACACGUGAGUAACCUGCCCUUGACUUUGGGAUAACUUCAGGAAACUGGGGCUAAUACCGGAUAGGAGCUCCUGCUGCAUGGUGGGGGUUGGAAAGUUUCGGCGGUUGGGGAUGGACUCGCGGCUUAUCAGCUUGUUGGUGGGGUGGUGGCUUACCAAGGCUUUGACGGGUAGCCGGCCUGAGAGGGUGACCGGACACAUUGGAUCUGAGAUACGGCCCAGACUCCUACGGGAGGCAGCGGUGGGGAAUAUUGCACAAUGGGCGGAAGCCUGAUGCAGCAACGCCGCGUGCGGGAUGACGGCCUUCGGGUUGUAAACCGCUUUCGCCUGUGACGAAGCGUGAGUGACGGUAAUGGGUAAAGAAGCACCGGCUAACUACGUG